AGACUUGAACGAGAAGGUGCAUCGGCAAUAAGAACACGCUUGGGAAUGCAGAAGAAAUUGAACAUUUACUUGUAUUAAUUAUUUAUAUUGCCUCCUGUAUCUUUCUUUGACGAGGUCAAGACCACGACCAGGGUUUCGACAGCACUUGUUUGUGAGUUCACAUCCAAGGUUGGUACUUUCGGUCUUUUAGUGAUGUAUCUGCUCACAUUACUCUUGUACUGCGCAUGCAUUGACUGGAAAAUACCAUGCAAACCAAAGGCUGCUGCUUUCGGAGGCCAGUGAAUGUCAAGUUCAGGAAGACUUGGGGCGUCUUGGAUGAAGUUGGGGGUUCCUACCGUUCUCACUGCGUCAUGAGAGGAAUUCUGGCCACAAAUGUCCUUCUAAUUUGCUCGCAGGCACCCCAAUGGCGCUCAACUUCGGCACCGUCAGCAACAUCUUUUACCUCGUUAUUGCUGGCACAGUGGUGCUGAACCUGGUCUACAUUGCAGCGGGCGUGUCGGCCUUGACCCUCCUGUUCCCGAAGUGAUAAUUAUGAGGUAUUGUCUGCACAAGUAUUUACGCUCAACCAGCAGUGAUCCUUGCGUUUAGCAAACUUCUGAGUGUCAGAUCUGCCUGCUUCCCUCCUGCUUGUGGUGAAGCUGAAGCCUUUGACGUGUGCAGGGGUCUCGGGGAAGGAGCUUUGCUUGCGAAAUUCUUCAAGUGCGAUGAGAUAAAGAGAUUGCAGCAAUUUUCUGGCAACUGAGACGGCUGGACUUACUCGGCAAACAAACGACCCAGACCUUG
rnacentral:lncRNA from 1 species